AUCUUAAACAUCACCAGGGGGACGAUGGUGGUUCUGGUGCUGAUAAUUCUGCUUCUUCUCUUUCUCUUGAUGAGGAUGAACAAGGCUGGGAGCUCCACCGCGGAAGCGAAUGAACCCAUAGAGGGGUUAGACUCUCGUUGUGAGUAUGAGAACGACUCAGACCUGAACCUGGUUUCUGCAGAACGGACAGAAGAACCA